UGAAAACAGACGAACAUAAGGGAACGGGGGAAAAACUUAAAAGAGAAACGUAACGGGCAUGAGAAAAAAACUGAAACAUAAACAUAUUGCGCUGGGAAAAACAGCAGCGCCUCCGGGCCCAUUUAGUUGCCGAAUGGGGGGGGGGGGGGGGGUUACUUUAUAUGUGAACAUCAUUUACAGUAUUGUGCAAAAGUUUUAGGCACCCUACUUUUUUUUUUUUAGCACAAACUUUGUUAUGGAUUUUUUUUUAUCUUAUGACUUCUACAUUAUCGAGUCAGUACAAAAACAUUUGAGAUUUCCAAACAUUAGUUUUCCAGCACAAAAUGAAAUGUUAGUAAAUGGUCUGCGCUUAUAUAGCGCUCUUUUUUUAACCUUAGCAGUUCCAAAGCGCUUUACACUGGUUCUCAUUUACCCAUUCACACACCAAUGGUAGCAGAUGUGCCAUGCAAGGCGCUAGCUUCAGCGUCUUGCCCAAGGACACUUCGGCAUGUGGAGUCGUGUGGGGUGGGAAUCGAACCGCCAACCCUACGGUUAGCAGGUUGAAUAGCGGACCCUACGGUUAGCAAGUUGAUUAGCAGAGCCUACGGUUAGCAGGUUGAUUAGCGGACCCUACGUUCAGCAG
ensembl:lncRNA